AAGUCAUGAACGAUGGAUUUAUUUCUUCAAGUGAUUUGAGUAACAAAAGCAAGGUGUUCGAAAUAACAUAUCUAAAGAGCCAGGAAGUUGCUUCAUUGUAUUUUGAGAAGACAGCCGGAAUUGUGCAACUCCACCAAGAUCUCUUUUCUCCUUCUCCCUUUCUCUAAAGAAAACAGAAUGGAAGGAACUAAAGCUCUCUGGCUGUUGGUCACACUGUUACUCCGUCACAUCAACGCAGACCUCUCCGUUCCAACUUUGGAGCUGAACCAAACCACCAAAGACCACGCAAACUUUCCUGACAAGGACAACAAUGGCACGCGAGCAGACUGUUUGGUUGACACUGAGAUGGGUGUGAUUGCAAUAAGCUCGGCAGGGGGUCUGAUUCUUUGCCUAGUGAUUGCCACUGUGGUAUUAGCCUGUCAACUCUACCACAUUCGGCGCCAGGUUUACUCUCCACAGGCCUCCCACUCCAAUAUGUACUUGGUGAGUAGUACAGACUACUGGGACACUCACCCACCUGCGAUUGAAGGCCUGGAUGGGCCGUGUGACACCAGUGUCAUGCUGGAGGAGGUGACAGCAGACAACACAAUUCAGGAAGAGAACGAAGUUGAAUUGCAAAGGGAAGAGGAGGGGGCAAUGGUAGAAACUAAACAGAAAGGAUCAGCUUUCAAUCCUGAGGCGAGUGAUGGUCAGAUGCUGAGCUCAGACUCAAAAGACUUGUCUGGAAAUCUCAAGUGACUUUGGUAAAGAGCAGUCUUUAAACGCAGAAGCCUCGUGGCUGUUCAGCUCAAAGGAUAUUUAACAAGGUGUGUUGUGUGUCCUAUAACUAGGACUAUUAAAAUCGAAGAGAAAAACUACGAUGCACUAUGGGGUCACAAGAUAUGGACCUCUAGGUAGGUUGUUUGGAUCAGGUGUGUACUGUAUGUGAAUGGUUAGGCAGAAGACUCCGUGCCGACCUUUGAUGUGAACUUUUUUUUGGGGGGGCGGCUGAAAUUACAUCACAUAAUAACAGAAACGUAUGCCAAUAAGUCUUAUUCAUCUUCCUACAAUAAUGGCCAAAGGCAUUUAGUUUUUUCGGUUUUCUUUCUGACAACACAAACAAUUGACAAAAAAGGCAAAAAGGUUAUUCUGCCCAAACUAUGACUGAGGCCAGUAUUUUACGUGAUGACUUUAUGGACCAAACAUUUAGCAAAUCUCGUUAAAAAGGUUAAUUCACUUCAUAACCCAUACUGUGGUAAUUUUUUUUCUUUAUGUGAAACUUGCAAUUGUCGUUUCAGAUCAUUUUCUAAAAUCACUCGAGUUCCAGAUGACUCGUGAACUUUGUGAGACCAAUAACGCGUAAAAUAGUGUAUAGUGUGAAUGUAAACAGAAAAUAUGUCCUAUCUAGCAGACAACAGUUGUUUAGUGGAAAGUAUGCGCAAAUUUCAGUUGGAGUCAGCCAGAAUUCCAGAAUACAGUGACUCCUCGACUACCUGUGAAGUAAUUGGAAUUUUUGUAGUACAAAACUGAAAAUAUUCACUGAGAACCCCUUUUGGAAAAAAAUGUUUGUAUUCAAGGUGGAACUUCUUUUACAAACAAGAGUCGACUUACCUCAAUUCAUGUAUUAAAAACAUUAGCGCAUCUAUGCACCUCUGCAUCCAAAUGAUGUGGCGACAUGCAUGUCAUGCACUUGGAAAUAAAACAAUCUGUGGGCCAUUUAUUCUGAAUAGUAAUGUUUAAAUAUGAAUUUGAAGUUCUAUUUAAAUUUUUGUGGACAUUUUUCUCCAUAUUGGUUGACAAAUGGAGAGCAAAUGAUAAGAAAACUUCAGUACAACCAAAUGUCCCUGUAUUCCAAGCUCUGAUUGCGAUCCAAUUUGCGAAUAGUGGUCAUGUCCAUUUAAUUUUCUUCUGAUAUAAGCUCACCUUCAGCUGGGUGCCGAGUCUCUAAACAGACACUGCACCAUGGGCUCACAAAUUCUGAUGGGCCACAUGUUGAAGAAACCAAGCGCAGGACACUUAGAAAUUACGAACAUCACCACCUAAUGAUAAGUUGUACAAUUACUCAUUUAUUUGUAUUUGUUUCUUUGCCCGUACCUCAAAAUAUGUCUCAAAGUUAAACUACAUGGUGUAAAUCAGGUUUGGGACUGCUGUUUUAACUCAAGCUAACAAAAAGUGUGUUUCUUCAAAGAGAAAAAUGAAGCCCGGUGUAUACUUGAUUUACUUCCAUUCAGACUGUCCAUAUUAUUUAUUAAAAAUAAAGACCAAAAUACUUCAGUAAUUUCUCUACCAUAAUUAAUAAAGAGCACAAUGAUCUUUCA